UACGUAGGUCCCGAGCGUCGUCCGGAUUUAUUGGGCGUAAAGCGAGCGCAGGUGGUUUAUUAAGUCUGGUGUAAAAGGCAGUGGCUCAACCAUUGUAUGCAUUGGAAACUGGUAGACUUGAGUGCAGGAGAGGAGAGUGGAAUUCCAUGUGUAGCGGUGAAAUGCGUAGAUAUAUGGAGGAACACCGGUGGCGAAAGCGGCCCUCUGGCCUGUAACUGACACUGAGGCUCGAAAGCGUGGGGAGCAAACAGG
rnacentral:rRNA from 1 species